rnacentral:rRNA from 1 species
UAGCAUAUCAAUAAGCGGAGGAAAAGAAACCAACAGGGAUUGCCCUAGUAACGGCGAGUGAAGCGGCAACAGCUCAAAUUUGAAAUCCGGCCUCGGCCCGAGUUGUAAUUUGCAGAGGAUGCUUUUGGUGCGGUGCCUUCCGAGUUCCCUGGAACGGGACGCCACAGAGGGUGAGAGCCCCGUAUGGUCGGACACCAAUCCUGUGUAAAGCUCCUUCGACGAGUCGAGUAGUUUGGGAAUGCUGCUCUAAAUGGGAGGUAAAUCUCUUCUAAAGCUAAAUACCGGCCAGAGACCGAUAGCGCACAAGUAGAGUGAUCGAAAGAUGAAAAGCACCUUGAAAAGGGGGUUAAACAGUACGUGAAAUUGUUGAAAGGGAAGCACUUGUGACCAGACUUGGGCCGGGCGGCUCAUCAGGGGUUCUCCCCUGUGCAUUCCGCCCGGUACAGGCCAGCAUCGGUUCUUACCGGGGGAUAAGAACGGCAGGAACGUGGCUCCCUCUCGGGGGAGUGUUAUAGCCUGCCGUACGAUACCCUGGCGGGGACCGAGGUUCGCGCUUCCGCAAGGAUGCUGGCGUAAUGGUUACUAGUGACCCGUCUUGAAACACGGACCAAGGAGUCGUCCAUUAGAGCGAGCGUUUGGGUGUAAAACCCGCACGCGUAAUGAAAGUGAAAUUAGGUGAGAGCUUCGGCGCAUCAUCGACCGAUCCUGAUGUUCUCGGAUGGAUUUGAGUAAGAGUUUUAACGGACGGACCCGAAAGACAGUGAACUAUGCUUGUAUAGGGUGAAGCCAGAGGAAACUCUGGUGGAGGCUCGCAGCGGUUCUGACGUGCAAAUCGAUCGUCAAAUAUGAGCAUGGGGGCGAAAGACUAAUCGAACUGUCUACU